rnacentral:rRNA from 1 species
GACGAACGCUGGCGGCGUGCCUAAUACAUGCAAGUCGAACGAACCGCGACUAGGUGCUUGCACUUGGUCAAGGUGAGUGGCGAACGGGUGAGUAACACGUGGGUAACCUACCUCAUAGUGGGGGAUAACAGUCGGAAACGACUGCUAAUACCGCAUAGGACAUAGGAACACAUGAUUCUGUGAGGAAAGGUGGCGCAAGCUAUCGCUAAGAGAUGGACCCGCGGUGCAUUAGCUAGUUGGUAGGGUAAAGGCCUACCAAGGCGAUGAUGCAUAGCCGACCUGAGAGGGUGAUCGGCCACAUUGGGACUGAGACACGGCCCAAACUCCUACGGGAGGCAGCAGUAGGGAAUCUUCCGCAAUGGACGCAAGUCUGACGGAGCAACGCCGCGUGAGUGAAGAAGGUCUUCGGAUCGUAAAGCUCUGUUGUUAGAGAAGAACAGCGCAUAGAGUAACUGUUAUGCGUGUGACGGUAUCUAACCAGAAAGCCACGGCUAACUACGUG